rnacentral:rRNA from 1 species
AUUGAACGCUGGCGGAAUGCUUUACACAUGCAAGUCGAACGGCAGCACGGGGCAACCUGGUGGCGAGUGGCGAACGGGUGAGUAAUACAUCGGAACGUGCCCAAUCGUGGGGGAUAACGUAGCGAAAGUUACGCUAAUACCGCAUACGAUCUACGGAUGAAAGCGGGGGAUCGCAAGACCUCGCGCGAAUGGAGCGGCCGAUGUCAGAUUAGGUAGUUGGUGGGGUAAAGGCUCACCAAGCCAACGAUCUGUAGCUGGUCUGAGAGGACGACCAGCCACACUGGAACUGAGACACGGUCCAGACUCCUACGGGAGGCAGCAGUGGGGAAUUUUGGACAAUGGGCGCAAGCCUGAUCCAGCCAUUCCGCGUGCAGGAUGAAGGCCUUCGGGUUGU